CUUAGUUUCCGCUUAACUUACAUGAAAAAAACAUUUAUAAACUUUCUAAGGAACACUUAGUUCCCUUAUAUCUUAUGCGAAAUGGACACAACUCUUUACUCUUUCCUUGACUUGAUACUUUUGAUCUUAAUCAACUGUUUAGGGAAUUUAUAGUUCCCUUAUACUUCUUUUUCAACUUUUACUCUUUAUUUAACUCCAAGGUUUAGCCUUAAAAUGAAGUUAAAACAUUAAAUAAGGCUCUUAGAUACUUUACUUUAACUUACUUCAUAGCUUUAGACUUGACUUCUUAACUUCCUUUAAUUUAAUCCUAACUUUACUUAAAUUGAAUUAUGGAUUAAAGUUUCGUGAUUCAUUUUUAUGGAUGAUUUCAUGAUGUUUAGAUGUAACUUAGAUCAUUAGAAUCAAUCAAGAAUUGUAGGUACAUCACGUAGGAAUUGGUACGAAGAGAUAGUGGCAAAAAUAGUGUCUCCAGACAACCCUGACGCUCAGAGGGGCGCGGGAGAGAAAGAUUGAUAGAGAGAGGUUGUCCUGAGAGGCUCUGGAUUGCGCGACACACAAGACCUUGUGAGACAGAGCCUGCCCUGAAGGGCAUUGGCAGGCGUGGCACACCAGGGUUUGUCAGUCAGGGUCUUCAUCUUUUCUUCUCUGUUUUUAAACGCUAAACCUUCUAAACUCCCAUGGAUCAUUACUCAAUAACUUAGGAUAAAUAAUAACCUCAAGACCCAUAAAGCAACCUGGAAACACGAAUCCAAUCUACUAAAUCAUACUACAAAUCAUCCAACAAGUAUUUAACCAUUGUUCAUUAAGUAUUUCAAUGUUCAUAUCAUUAAAUCCAUUUAAACUUCUCUGAAUUAAACAAAUUGAUGUGUGGGUGAACUAACCCAACACAAAAAGAUCUCUUAUAUGUCAAUGGGAACACCUCCGACGAAUUCCACCUGCGAAACCUUAGUGUUCUUGAUGGAUUCUAGAUUUUCUCUCCUUAUCUCCUUCUCUUCUCUUUUCUGCCAAGGCCUAAGCGUGAUUUGGUUUUCUAAAACGAAAUUAAGUCUAAUUUUUUUUUAAAAAAAUGGAAAUAAUUGGUUGAAAUGUCAAGUUUUCCUUUACUAAAAUCCGGAUUGGGACCUUCCUCAACCGAACAUCCCAACUUCUAAUAGGAUUAUCUCCCUCAUACGAUAUUGCAACUGCGCAAACUUUGAGUUGUUAGAAAGACCUCUCCAAGGGCUUUCCAACCAUAUAAAGAACUGUCUCUAAAUCAUAAUGAGAUAGAAGUUAUGGUCAUUUUAAAAUGACCAAAACUCACUUUCUUAACUUAGGAAAUUGUCCAAAAUUUCCUAUUCUUCCAAUAUUGAUUAUUUUUGGUUUCUAAUCUUAUUCUUGGAUAUUAGUAGUUACAAGGUGUUACAGUUUUAUGGUCAUUGGAGAAAGUAGAAUUUUUUAGAGGUGUUUUUUGUAUGGUUUUAGUAUAUUUCUUGAUUUUUCGGCAUUUAAGGGCAUUUAUAUAAUAAUAGCCAUUUCCGGGCAAUAACGAAAAAGAUGUAAAGUUUUGAUCUGUUAUUCGUCACGAUAUUCUAUGGUAAUUGGUGCAAGGAGAAAUUGUUUUGAGGGUAUUUUUAGUAUUUAUGUGUGGUUCUUGGUUUUCAGCCAUUUUUGGGUAGGUACGAAAAGAAGUGAACUUUUGAUCUCUUAUUCUUUAUGAUAUUUUAAGGUCAUCGGUUUAACUCAAAAUAUUGUUGAAGUUUUUUUAUAUUGUUUAUGUGUGCUUUUAAUUUUUUUCAUCUAUUUUGGGGCAUUUAACGUAAUAUUCGGUCAUUUUCAUAUAGUUACGAAUCGAAGUAAUAUUUUGUUCUUUUAUUCAUAACGAUAUUCUAAUGUCAUUUCUUCAAGUUGAAAUGUUUAAGGUUUUUUGUACUGUUUAUGUGUAUUUCUUAUUUUUUGGCCAUUUUAGAGGAUUUACGUAAUAUUCAUCUAUUUACAAGCUAUUAUAAAAAGUCGAAUGUUUUGUUGUUUUAUUCCUCAUUAUAUUCUAAGAUCAUUGGUGUAAGUCAAAUAAAAAUUUGAGUUGUUUUUGUACUUUUUAUGUGUGUUUCUUUACUUUUCAACCAUUUUAGGACAUUUACAGGAUAUUCGACUAGUUUCAGGCGAUUACGAAAAGAAUUAAGUUUGUUUUAUUAUUCAUCACAAUAUUCUAAGGUCAUUGGUGGAUGUCUAAAAAAUUCUAAGACAUUUUUUAUAUUGUGGAUGUCUGUUUCUUGAUUUUUUGAUCAUUUUGGAGUUUUUACGUAAUAGUCGGGCAGUUUUUGGUAGUUACGAAAUGAAGUAAGUUAUUGUUGUUUUAUUUGUUAGGAUAUUCUAAGGUCAUUUGUGCAAGUAUAAAAAAUUACCGCAUUUUUGGAUCUUGUAUGUGUAUUUCUACAUUUUUCAGUCAUGUAGGGGAAUUUACGUAAUAUCCAGUCAUUUUUCAGGCAGUUACGAAAAAGAAUAAAAUUUUUAAUCUAUUAUUCGUCACAAUAUUCUAAGCUCAUUGGUGCAAUUCAAAACGUUUUUGAGGAGCUUUUUGUAUUGAUUAUGUUUGUUUCUUUAUGUUUUGGCAUUUUAUGGCAUUUACGUGAUAUUUGAUCAUUUCAGGAAAUUACGAAAAGAAGUGAAGUUUCUUUCUGUUAUUCGUCACGAUAUUCUAAGCUCAUAGAGCAAGUCAAAAAAAUUGAGGAAUUUUUUCUAUUGUUUAUGCUUGUUUCUUGGUUUUUCAGUCAUUUUGCUCAUUUAGGGAAUAUUUGGGCUGUUACGAAAGAAGCAAAAUUUUGUUCUGUUAUUUGUCACGAUAUUUUAAUGUCAUUGGUGCAAGUCAAAAAAAAUUGAGGUGUUUUUGUACCUUUUAUGUGUGUUUAUUUAUUAUUCGUUCAUAUUGGGCAUUUAUAUAUUAUUCGACAUUUUUAAGGUUGUUUCAAAAAGAUGUAAAGUUCUUUUGUGUUAUUCGUCAUGAUAUUCUACGUUUCUAGAUGUACGUCAAAAAAAUUUUGAGAUGGUUUUUUUAUUGUUAAUGUGUGUUUCUUGAUUUUCCGGCCAUUUUGGGGGCAUUUAUGAAAUAUUUGGCCAUUUUUGGGAUGAUACGAAAAGAAGGAAAAUUUUAUUUAAUUAUUCUCCACAAUAUUCUAAAGUCAUCAGUGAAAGUAAAGAAAAAAUUGAGACAUUUUUGUACAAUUUAUAUGUGUUUCUUUAUUCUUAGGUAUUUUAGGGCAUUUAUGAAAUAUUCAGCCAUUUUUGGGCAAUUACGAAUAGAAGUGAAGUUUUGUUCUAUUAUUCGUAAUUAUAUUUUAAGGUCAUUGGUUGAAGUCAAAAUUUAUUAAGAAAUUUUUUGUUGUUUAUGUUUUGUUUCUCGACUCCUUAGCCAUUUCAGGUUAUUUAUGUAAUAUUUGGUCAUUUUUGGGUAGUUUUGAAAAUAAUGUAUGUUUUGUUCUAUUAUUCGUCUCGAUAUUCUAAGCUCAUUGGUGCUAAUAAAAAAAUUUCGACAUAUUUUUUCGUACUGGUUAUGUGUGUUUCUUGAUUUUUCGGCUAUUUGGGCAUCUAAGUAUAUUCAACAAUUUUAGGGCAGUUAAAAAAAGAAGUAACACGUUGUUCUAUUAUUCGUGACGAUAUUCUUUUGUCAUUAGUGCUAGUCGAAUUUUUUCAGAUGUACUUUUUUAUUGUUUUAUGUGUUUUUUUAUUCUUUGGUCAUUUUGGGGUAUUUACGUAAUAUUCGACCAUUUUGGGCAAUAAAGAUAUGGAGUGAAGUUUUAUUCUGAUAUUUGUCACAAUAUUCUAAGGUCACCGGUGCAAGUCAAAAAAAGUUUAAGGUUUUUUUAUACUAUUUAGAUGUGUCUUGAUUUUUUCUAGAAUUUUUACGCAUUUACGUAAUAUUUGGUCAUUUUCAGGCUGUUAUGAAUAGCAGUAAAGUUUUGGUAUGUUAUUUGUAAUGAUAUUCGAAAGUUAUUGGUGUAAGUAAAAAAAAUUAAGGGGUCUUUUAUAUUGUUUAUGUGUGUUUUUUUUUAUUUUUCGGCCAUUUUGGUGCGUAUACAUAACAUUUGGUCAUUUUCGGGAAGUUACAAAAAGUAUUAAAGUUUUGUUUUGUUAUUCGUCGUGGAAUUUUUACUUUAUUGGUUCAAGUUAAAAAAAAUUGCGGCGUUUUUGUAUUUUUUGUGUUUUUCUAAAUUUUUCGAUCAUUUGGGGGCAUUUACUCAUUAAUUGGCCAUUGUCCAGGAGUUACGAAAAGAAGUUCGUUUUUGUUCUGUUACUCGUCACAAUAUUUUAAGUUCAUUGAUGUAAGUCAAAAAAAUUUUGAGGCAUUUUUUUUAAUAGUUUGUGUGUUUUUUAAUUUUCAGCCAUUUUGAGGAAUUUAGGUAAUAUUAGUCAAUUUUCAGGCAGUUAAGGAAAAAUGUAAAGUUCUAUUCUAGUGUUUUUCAUGAUAUUUUAAGGUCAUUGGUGCAAGUAAAAAAAAAUUGAGGCAUAUUUUUUCUUGCUUACGUCUGUUUCUUGAUUUUUUGUUUAUUUUUAGGCAUUUAUGUAACAUUACACAUUUUCGCGUAGUUACUAAAAUAAGUGAAGUUGUAUUCUAUUACUCGUCAUGAUAUUCUAAGAUCAUUGAUGAAACUCAAAUUUUUUUUGAGGCUUUUGUUAUACUGUUUAUGUGUAUUUCUUUAUUUUUUGUCAUUUGGGCCAUAUACAUAAUAUUCGACCAUUUUCGGACAGUUUCAAAAAGAAGUAAAGUUUUGCUCUGUUGUUUGUCACGAUAUUCUAAGGUUAUUGGUGCAAGUCAAAAACUUUUGAGGAAUUUACGUACUAUUCAUAUGUUUUACUUGAUUUUUUUGCCAUUUAGGGGUAUUUACGUAAUAUUCAGCCAUUUUCGGGUAGUAAUGAAAAAGAAGUAAACUUCUCUUUAGUUAUUCAUUAUGAUAUUCUAAAGUCAUUCAUGCAAGACAUAAUUUAUUUGACGCAUUUUUUAAGCUUUAUGUUUGUCUUUUGAUUUUUUGGCCAUUUUAGGGUAUUUACGUAAUAUUCGGCCAUUUUUUGGGCAGUUAUAAAAAGAAUUAUAGUUUUUUUUAUUAUUUGUCACAAUAUUCUAAGGUUAUUUGUGCAGUCAAAAUUUUUUUUGAGGUGGCUUUUUGUACUUUUAUGUGUGUUUCUUGAUUUUUUCGUCCAUAUUGGGCAUUUACAUAAUAUGCCAUUUUAAUGCAAUUACGAAAUAAUGUAAGUUUUUUUUGUUAUUGGUAGCGAUAAUUAGGGUACUGGGUGCAAGUUGAAAUUUUUUGAGAUUUUUUUAAAUUAUUUGUGUGUGUUUCUUGAUUUUUCGGUCUUUUUAGGGCAUGUACAAAAUAUUCGAUCGUUUUUGAGAUGUUACUGAAAGAAGUAAAAUUUUAUGCUGUUAUUUGUAACGAUAUUGUUAGGUCAUCGGUUGAAGUGAGAAAAAAAUUGAGGAGCUUUUUGUACAAUUUAUGUGUGUUUCUUUAUUUUUUGCUAUUUUAAGAUAUUUACGUAAUGUUUAGCCAUUUUCGAGCAGUUACAAAAAGAAAGUGACUUAGAAUAUCUGUUUUUCCUCAUGAUAUUCUAAGGUUAAUGGUGAAACUCAAAAAUUUUGAGGAGUUUUGUGUAUUCUUUAUGUGUGUUUCUUGACUCUUAGCCUCUUUAGAACAUUUACGCAAUAUUCAGUCAUUUUUCGAGUUGUUUAGAAAAGAAGGUACGUUUUGUUCUUUUAUCGUCACAAUAUUCUAAGGUAAUUGGUGCUAGUAAAAGAAAAUUGAUGCGAUUUUUAAUUGUUAUGUGUGUUUCUUGAUUUUUCGAGUACUUAGGGGCGUUUAUGUAAUAUUCGGCCAUUUUUUGGGCAGUUAUGAAAAUAAGUAAAGUUUUGUUUUGUCAUUCGUGACGAUAUUCUAAGGGCAUUAGUUGGUUGAAAGUUUUUUGAGGUGUUUUUAUGUAUUAUUUAUGUGUGUUUCUCUAUUUUUCUGUCAUUUUUGGGGUACUGACAUAAUAUUCGGCCAUUUUCAGGCAGUAACGAUACGAAGUGAAGUUUUGUUCUAUCACUCGUCACAUUAUUCUAAGGUCAUCGAUACAUGUAAGAAUUUUAAAGGUUAUUUAUACUAUUUAGAUGUGGUUAUUGAUUUUUUUUCUUGCAUUUUUUAGCGUUUAUGUAAUAUUCGGUUAUUUUUGGACAGUUAAGAAAAGAAGGAAAGUUUUGUUCUGUUAUUCGUCACAAUAUUCUAGGUUCAUGGGUCAAGUCAUAAUUUUAUUAUGGUGUCUUUUUAAUUGUUUAUGUGUGUUUUUUUAUUUUUUGGUCAUUUUGGGGCAUUUGCAUAAUACUUGGUCGUUUUUAGAUAGUUACAAAAGCAGUAAAGUUUUGUUAUGUUAUCCAUCAUGGUAUUCUUAGGUUAUUGGUUCAAAUAAAAAAAUUUAGGGAUUUUUUGUAUUUUUGUGUAUGUUUCUAGAUUUUUGGGCAUUUUGGAGCAUUUACAUGAUUUCGGCCAUUUUCAAGGAGUUACGAAAAUAAGUUAAGUUGUUUCAUGUUAUUUUGUCACAAUAUUCUAACUUGAUUGGUGCAAGUCAAAAAAAUUUGAGGCAUUUUUUGUAUAGUUUGCCAUUUUUGAUGAAUUUACGUAAUAAUCGACAAUUUUUGAGUAGUUACGAAAAGAAGUAAAGUUUUGUUCCAGUAUUUUUCAUAAUAUCUAAGCUUUCGGUGCAAGUCAAUAAAAAAUUGAGGCAAUUUUGUACAUUUUAUCUCCAUUUCUUGAUUUUUCAUCCAUUUUGACGCAUUUACGUAAUAUUUAGACAUUUUCUAAUAGUUACAAAAAGAAGUGAAGUUUUGUUAUGUUAUUCGUCAUGAUAUUUUAAGAUCAUUGGUGAAAUUCAAAUCUUUUUUGAGUCUUUUCUUGUACUGUUUGUGUGUUCCAUUAUUUUUUGGCUAUUCUGGGCAUUUACGUAAUAUCUAGCUUCGGGCGGUUACAAAAAGAAGUAAUGUUUUUCCAUGUUAUUGUCACGAUAUUAUAAGGUUAUUGGUGCAAGUUGAAUUUUUUUGAGGCGUUUUAUACAUUAUGUAUGUGUAUUUCUUGAUAUAUUCGGCUACUUUCUGGCAGUUACAAAAAGAAGUUUUUUUCUAUUAUUCAUCAUGAUAUUGUAAGGUCAUCCGUGCAAGGCGUAGUUUUUUGAGGUAUUUUUAUGGUUUAUGUUUGUUUCUUAAUUUUUUGGCUAUUUUAGGGCGUUUACAUAAUUUUCGUCCAUUUUUGAGGAGUUAUAAAAAGAAGUAAAAAACUUUCUGUUGUUCGUCACAAUAUUCUAAGGUUAUUCGUGCAAGUCAAGAAUCUAGCGAGGUGUUUUUGUAACGUUUAUGUGUGUUUCUUUAUUUUUCGAUCAUAUUGAGGCAUUUAGUUACGAAUAAUAAGCAUGGAAAUUGUAAUAGGGCAAUAGAGCCUAUUCUUCUUCAUUUUCUCCACAAGAUAGGGAUGCACCUAGAGGGGCCACACCCGAUACUGGUAGAGGAAUAAAUCGCCUUUAUGUUAUAACCUGUCUCCAAGAGCAAGAGGAUUCUCCAGAUGUUGUCACUAGUAUGAUCCAAGUCUUUUACUUUAAUGUAUAUGCUUUUCAAGAUUUAAGAGAAAUUUUAUGGUCUGUAACUCUGUAUGUUGCGAUGAAUUAAAAUAUUCUCCUGGAGAAACUUUGUGAACCCUUAAGAGUUUCUACACAUGUUGGUCAAUCUAUUAUAUCAAAGGGAGUCUUUUGUGAUAGCCAUGUUUUCGUCAAACACAAUAUUCCAUGAUUGAUUUUGUCUAGUUAGACAUGUUAGAUUUCAAUAUCAUUCUUGGUAUGGACUGACUUCAUGCCUGUUAUGCCGCAAUUGAUUGUAGGACUCGAGUUGUCAAGUUUCAUCUUCCAAAUGAGCCAGUCUUAGAGUGGAAAAGAGUUAAGUAAUGACUAAGGGUCAUUUUAUUUCAUACUUAAGGAGAGAAGUUAGUUUCUAAGGGAUGAGAUUGUCACUUAGUUCGACUAAAUGACUCAAGUGUUAAGAUACAUCCUAUUAAGUUAGUUUCAGUAGUAAAAGAGUUUCCAGAAAUCUUUUUCAGAUUAUCUACCCAAGUCACUUCUGAGACAGGUAGACUUCGAUAUAAAUAUUCUUCCAGAUUUUCAUCCUAUAUCUAUUCCAUCAUAUAGUAUUGUAGCAACAGAGUUUAAAGAGUAGUUGAAAGACCCCUAGAGAAAGGUUUUAUUCGACCAAGUGUCUCAUUUUCGGUCUCUCUAGUCUUAUUUGUGAGAAAGAAGGAUGGUUCCCUUAGUAUGUGUAUAGACUACUGUAAGUUUAACAAUGUUACCAUCAUGAAUAAGUAUCCUCUUCGAAGGAUUGAUGAUCUUUUUGAUCAAAUUCGGGGUGCCUUAUGUUUCUCUAUUAUAGACCUAGAUCAGUCUACCAUCAGUUAAGAUUGAGGGAAUGUGAUAUUCCAAAGACAACAUUCAAUACCCGUUAUGUUCAUUAUGAGUUUCUGGAUAUGACCUUUGGUUGGAUUAAUGCUCCUUCGACAUUAAUGGACCUUAUAAAUAGAGUAUUCAAACCUUAUUUAGAUAAAUUUGUUAUCAUAUUCAUUGAUGACAUACUAAUCUAUUCGAAGAAUGCGGAAGCUCAUU